GACGAAGGAUGCAAGCGUUAUCCGGAUUCAUUGGGUUUAAAGGGUGCGUAGGCGGCCUUAUAAGUCAGUGGUGAAAUCUCUGGGCUUAACCCAGAAAUUGCCAUUGAUACUGUAGGGCUUGAGUAUAGUUGCCGUUGGCGGAAUAUGACAUGUAGUGGUGAAAUACAUAGAGAUGUCAUAGAACACCGAUUGCGAAGGCAGCUAACGAAACUAUAACUGACACUCAGGCUCGAAAGUGCGGGGAUCAAACAGG
rnacentral:rRNA from 1 species